GUGGUUUAGGAAGGAGGAAGAGGAGAGGCCCCUUGCUCCUUGCCCUCUCCUUUCUCAUGGCUCCAUCUGGACCCAUCCUUAGGGAGCGUGGAAAUGCUUAUAAUUUCAUCUUGGCAGUCAACUUCACUGUAGAAAAUGGAUGGAAACUUGAAGGUUGUGAAGCCUUUGUAAAAGCAAGGAUGGAAGGGUAGAGAAGCCACCAUAUCCAUGGAGGUGGGGAGAUGAAGUUCUUCAGGAUCGACAGAAAAGGGUGAAAAGCCCUGGAAAUUGUAAUUUUACAGGUAACCUUAAGAGAACAAUCUUUCAGUUUUUAAUUUCUUUAAAAGACCAUUAUCUAAAGCAACAACAGCAGUAAUAUAGGGCUUCUAACAUCUCAGGGUAUAAAAUAUAUGAACACAGUAGAACAAAGGAUGGGGGAUGGUAAAAGGGAAUCAUACUGGUUUAAGUUCUUCUAUGUGCUAAGGAUGCAAAUUGUAAUCCCUAGUACAAAUAAUUCAAGAAUAAAAUAGAUUUAGCUAAAAAGUCCCAAAAGUCAGUAAAAUGGAAUAUUAAGAUGUAAGUGAUUAAUCCAAAAGAGGGCCAAAAAAAGGAACAAGGAACCAAGGGGACAAAUAGAAAAUAAAUGACAGUACUUAUUAAUUGUAAUAUUAUCCACAAAGGGGAGGAAGGGAAGGGAAGAAAGUAGAUCUCUCUAAGGUCUUUCCCAGCUUUUGGUGUCCACACCACUGGUUUUAGUCCACACUCCCCUGUCUGCAUCUACUAGUGGAACUGAGGCAUCAUCAAGUUUUCUUAACAUCAGAGCUGGGAUGAGAGUGGGGUCAGCUGGUUCCUGGGUCUAAUCAUGGGCCCGUCAGGUAGAGGAGACCAUGGUUAUGGGUUUGUAAUUAGAGUAGCAAGUUCAGGUAAUGAUUAGGUUUGGAGUCAAAGAUAUUAUUUCUAUUAGUUAGGCCUGGGGUUAAGGCCAACUUAGAGUUGGCAACUGCUUGGAGUUCGUGCUGGAUUUGGUUUAUUGGUCCCAUCUGUAGUGUGGGAGAGGACUGGGCUUCAGGAAUAUUAGAUUGGGUGGGAUGGGCUGAUCCAGCAGGGCCCCUGCAAUCUCUCAGGGCAGUUAUUCACAUCCACUAGGUCUAUUCUUUCCCAUAGUUAAUAAGCUUUUUCUCUUUUAUCAAUGCAAUGCAACAUCCAUUGAUUUAAAAAGCCUUUGAUCACCUGCUAUGUAUCAGGCACCAUUCUAAGUGCUGGGGAUGCAGUGUGAACAAGACAAAAUCCCUGACCCUACCGAGCGGAUGUGCUGAGGGUGAUAAACAAACAUGAAUCCAGAGAAGAGAACCAGGCCAGCAGGUCAGAGUGAUCUGGAAGUCUGGGAAGAUCUUGUGAUUGAUGAGAAGGGACAGCAGGAGCAGAGGCCUGGAGGUGGGCAGAAUGAAGGCAGUGUGGCACCAGAAGUGGGCAGGAAAGGCGAAGAAGCACAGCUGUGCCAGAAGCUAAUUUCAUAAGCUCAACCCUGCUGAAACAUUCUCUUUGAGUUGGAGGUGUUGCUUUGUGACCUGCAAGCACAGUCAAGAACUCAGAGGUAUUUUUCUUGCUCUAGCAGCUCAUGAGCACCUGCAAGCUGCCAAAGCACCUAUUUCUUCUCCCCCUGCAGUCCCAAGAGAGAUCACAUUAGAAAGCCAGACUGACUUCUCCAAUUCUGAACUGGCCCAGAC